rnacentral:rRNA from 1 species
UACGGAGGGUGCAAGCGUUAAUCGGAUUCAUUGGGCGUAAAGAGCGCGUAGGCGGGAAGGUAAGUCAGAUGUGAAAGACCGGGGCUCAACUCCGGGGCCGCAUUUGAAACUGCCUUUCUUGAGGAUAGGUGGGGAAAGCGGAAUUCCACAUGUAGCGGUGAAAUGCGUAGAUAUGUGGAAGAACACCAGUGGCGAAGGCGGCUUUCUAACUUAUUCCUGACGCUGAGGCGCGAAAGCGGGGGGAGCAAACAGG